rnacentral:rRNA from 1 species
CAGCCGCCGCGGGAAUACGAAGGGGGCUAGCGUUGUUCGGAAUUACUGGGCGUAAAGCGCACGUAGGCGGAUAUUUAAGUCAGGGGUGAAAUCCCAGAGCUCAACUCUGGAACUGCCUUUGAUACUGGGUGUCUUGAGUGUGAUAGAGGUAUGUGGAACUCCGAGUGUAGAGGUGAAAUUCGUAGAUAUUCGGAAGAACACCAGUGGCGAAGGCGACAUACUGGAUCAUUACUGACGCUGAGGCUCGAAAGCGUGGGGAGCAAACAGGAUUAGAUACCCCUGUAGUCCCUGUCUCUUAUAC